GGUACAGUGCUGAAAUCCACUGGGUCCUCUUCACCUUCAGCAGUUCUACAGGGAGUGGACCAUGUGGCCAGGCUGAUAACAGAGCCCUUGAGAAAGUCUGUCAGAGGUAGGAAAUCUUAAAGGCAGACAUGGUCAUGUGCUACAGUAUUGGCCUCAUGGCUCACUUUCACGCUAUGGUGGCCCCGUCCUGGCCUGCUCAGCUGUGGAGAAGCCUGGGAUCAGCAUUAGCCAUGUCAAUAAGACACCACUUAAGCCGGUAAGCAAUCAGCUUCCUGCAGCCAGCAAGGUGAACUGAAGGUCUACAGGGUUAUGCUUUUACUUAGAACAUC